rnacentral:sRNA from 1 species
UCUCAUUGGAUAAGUGCCCAUUGUGUUC